rnacentral:lncRNA from 1 species
CUGGACCUGCAGAUAGCAGUAUCUGAUUAUGCAGGCCAUAUAGAACAUGCCCUUCCUGCUGACAAAUUACUUCAGUUCUUACCUCAUACUCCUGUAGUUAUGCCUACAAAGCACGAUGCAUCAAAUCAUACCAUGGUGUGGCUAGGACCCAACCCAGUAGGAGAAAUGAAGGGAAUGACCCUACAGGACCUGCAGCCCCGGAUGAUGCAACUUCCUUGGAUGACACGAGCCCUGGACAUUACCUGGGGGAUGCUGAAGAUGACAACCCAGGAGGCUGAGCAAAUCCUACCCUGGACACAGACACCAUUCACUCCAGAUAAUUUGUUCCUUGCUAUGCUUUCUGUUGUACAUUGCAACUCUUGUAGGAUAUUGGCUUUUCUUAUUUUCUCACUCUGGUUGCAACUGGUACCUGCUACACUCUAUUAAGCCCAUCUUCUAAAUCUGCCUUUCUUCUGCACUGUUACCUGUGCAGAUACUCCCUUCCCAGCCUCUAAUAACGUAACCGCUUGGCUAGGAGGGAUUGACCUACCCGCCAUGGGUUUCCUUAGUAAUGGCACAGAUUGGACUGAGGAGCCAAGCAACACUACAUAUCACUCCUUGACUGGAAAAGAAUGUUACGAA